UACGGAGGGAGCUAGCGUUAUUCGGAAUUACUGGGCGUAAAGGGCGCGCAGGCGGCUGCUCAAGUCAGGCGUGAAAGGCCUGGGUUCAACCCGGGAAUUGCGCUUGAGACUGGGCUGGCUUGAGUGCGGGAGAGGAUGGUGGAAUUCCCAGUGUAGAGGUGAAAUUCGUAGAUAUUGGGAAGAACACCGGUGGCGAAGGCGGCGACCUGGUCCAUUGCUGACGCUGAGGCGCGACAGCGUGGGGGAGCAAACAGGAUUAGAAACCC
rnacentral:rRNA from 1 species